UUGUUGAUGUUUUUCACGAAAUCAAUUAACAGUUGAUUUUUCAGAAGGAAGAAGCUCGAGAGAUGGAGGAUGCCGUUCUAUUGAAGCCGACGCAUAGGCUCAAGUAUCAUUUUCUCCUCAGCUUCUGCCAUGUCCGGAGAAGAAGAAGAGAACGCCGUCGAACUCAAGAUUGGAGAUGGUAACCUCUCUGUUAUUCCCGUCUUUGUAUCCCCAGCUACUGUAUUGCAAAAUUAAGAGUUUUUGAAGGCAAAGUGCUUAAUGAACUGUGAAGUGUCUUUGAUAUUUGAGCACAAGUAUGAACAUCUUCAGCAAGUCUCCGAGGAUCCUAUGAAUCAAGUUUCUCAAGUGUUUGAAAAGUCCUUGCAAUAUGUGAAGCGAUUUAGUCGGUACAAGAAUCCAGAUGUUGUUCAACAAGUUCGAGAGUAUCCUCUUUCUGUAUGAUUAGUUUAUUCAGUAGACCUAGUAUUACAAGAAUGCAUUGAUUAUGCUUUUAUUAGCACUUAACCCAUGAAUGAGAGAGUUUAAUGUCAUUGGUUCAGUUCUUUAGUUUUGUGAGAGUAUAUAUGCCGUAUGAUUUUGACAGAAUCUUGAGCAGGCAUCAGCUCACUGAGUUUGAGCUCUGUGUUCUUUGCAAUCUCUGUCCUAAAACUGCUGAAGAAGCAGUGGCAAUGGUUCCUUCUCUCAAGACAAAAGGAAGAGCUCAUAGUGAUGAAGUGAUCGAGAAGAUGCUUAAUGAUCUCUCCCUUGUCAAGAGAUUCGAGUAGUUGCGGAAAGUUCUCAAGAUAUAAGAUUAUAAACAUAUUUCAGGGGACUACAUUUUCCUUAUAGCUGUUGAUGUCUGAGAGUUAGUUUUUCAUGUCUAAAAUUAUAAAACUUUCAUGCUCAGAAUCUCUGUAAUGACAUCUUUUUAAUAUGUUUUAUGUCAUAUUUAUUUAAAUU